UACAGAGGUCUCAAGCGUUGUUCGGAUUCAUUGGGCGUAAAGGGUGCGUAGGCGGCGCGGUAAGUCGGGUGUGAAAUCUCGGAGCUUAACUCCGAAACUGCAUUCGAUACUGCCGUGCUUGAGGACUGGAGAGGAGACUGGAAUUUACGGUGUAGCGGUGAAAUGCGUAGAUAUCAAGAGGAACACCUGAGGUGAAGACGGGUUGCUGGGCCGACACUGACGCUGAGUGCGCGAAAGCCAGGGGAGCAAACGGG
rnacentral:rRNA from 1 species